rnacentral:lncRNA from 1 species
ACAAUGUCCCGUUUCCUCCACCUAGGCCUACCUCCUAAAAAUUGCAUAAUUUUCCAAAUCAGUGUUAUCAGCUAGGAAAUUAGUGUUAAAACAUAUGAGCCUAUGGGGAACAUUUCAUAUUCAAAUCAUAUGGCAUGGAAGAAUGGGUGGGUGGGUAGAUGGGUGGAAAGGUGACAGAUGAAUGGAGGAUUGGUGGGUUGAUGGAUGGAUAAUAGAAGAGGCAUAUAUGGAUAACUUGUGGAUAAUAGGAUGAAUGUGUGAAUGUGUGGGUGAAUGGAUGAGUAAAUGGAUGACAGAUGGGUGAUGGAAAUGAUGGAUGAUGGAUAGAUGAGGGUGCAGGAUUAUAGACAGAUGGGUGGGUAGGUGGAUAGAUGAAUGAACACAUAGAUAAAUGGAUGGAGGUGGAACAGGCAUACAUGAGUAACUGAUGGAUAGUAGGAUGGAUGUGGCUGUGUGGAUGGAUAAAUGAAUGGAUGGAUCUAUCUGUUUGGAUUAAUGGUGGAAGAUGCAUGGGGUGAGUGAUGGAUAAGUCUGGGAUGGAUGGAUAGAUGGAUGGAUGGAGGAUUCAGGCAUGGGUGACUGGUGCAGAGUAUGUCAGAUGGAUGGAUGAGCAAAUUGAGUAGGUUAAUGAUGGAAGCCUUGUCUGGUGAAUGAUGUGAAGGGCAAAUGGGUGAUUUUAAGUUGAUAAUGAGUGUAGUCAGAAGAGACAAUCAUUGGUAAUGUCUCAGCUACUUUGUCUGCUAUUGUGAUAAAAUGCCCUAAUAAAGGCAAAUUAAGAGAGAAGGAUUAUUUUGACUCAUAGUCUGAAGUUACAGUCUGUCACAGCAGGGAAUUCAAAACAGUGGAAGCUUGAGGCAGUGGCUCAUAUUAAAUCCACAGUCAAGAAGAGUAGCCAGGUGGUGGUGGCUCAUUGCCUUUAAUCCCAGCACUCAGGAGGCAGAGGCAGGUGGAUCUCUGUGAGUUCAAGGCCAGCCUGGUCUACAAAGUGAGUUUCAGGACAGCCAGGGCUACACAGAGAAACCCUGUCUCAAAAAAACAAACCAAAAAAAAAAAAAAAAGAAAGAAAGAAAGAAAGAAAGAAGAAAAGAAGAGAGGUAAGUGAUGAAUGUUUAUCAAUAUAGGAUCCCAGGACAGGAAUGAUGCUAUCCACAAUAGGAAGGAUGUCCCACCUCAACCUAAUCAAAACAAUAACCCAAAGGCACGCCCAGAGGCCUGUCUCCCAAGUGAUUCUAGAUCCCAUUAAGUUGACAAUCUACAUUAUGAGGUAGGCUGAACUAUCCCAUGCCAGAGCACAAGAAUCUAGCCUCAGCCUCAAUCUGACUCUAGCCUUCCCAGCCACAAACAGAGAGCAUGGGGCAUGGGCUGGGGCAGAACUUGGUCAGGCGCCCACCCUUAUUAGACAGGUCUUCUCAAAUGCCUGUUGCCUUGAAAUCUAGAGCCUGUGCUUGGGGGGUGGGGUGGGGUUGUCAAGCUACAGGAGCCGCCAUGGUUUCAAUCAGGGUCCCAGAGAGAGAUAAGACUCACCAGGAACCAUAAAGCUAGGGCCCACCCUUGUCCUGGGCCUCUCCCCUCUUUCUUGGCUCUGUGCUUCAUGUGGGUUGUGGUGAUUGAUUCUUGUCCAGCUCUAACCUGAGCUGAGCCACCCUUGACCUGGCCUGACCUCAGCAGUGAUCUGGGUAGAGGCAGAUGGGAAGAAACCACAGGCACCAAACAACCCUUGAAAUGACCAUGAUUGUCCCUGGCACCAUGCCCUUGGGGAGCCUGACCACAACGGGGCUCCUGUGAAGCAACAGUCUGACUAUUGCUCAGUAUCCUCUAAGAUCAGAAUUCUUGGUUUCCUCAAGCCCUUCCCCACCCCUCUCAGAGCCUUGGGGUCCUGUUCACAGAGACAGACAGCGACAAAUGAAGACCAAUGCUAAGGCCAGGAACACCAAGUUGCUAAGAAUAGCAAAAUUGUCACCUGUAGCCUUAGGAACCUAAGCCUGUAUACAGUAGGUGCCCAAUGGGUAUUCACUGGAGGGAAGGGAUGAUCCAGAUUUCUAGGUGGAUCCACUGGAAGGCUUAGGGACCCCAUGUUUAUCCAUUUGCCUCUUUGAAGGGAUACUCACUCAUGGAGAGGGAAGCUUGCUUCUGAUUACUCUGACUUCAAGUAAGCCAGGACCUCCACCACACCUCUAUGUCACCCCAGACCAAAGAACCCUAAAAGUAACUCCAGGCAAAAUUUAGGGAGCUGCAAAUACAUGUUCCUCCAGUACAUUCACUCCAUAGCCAGACCUUCUAGAACAUUCCCCAGAGGCCAGUCAGGGACCCACUCACUCACUCUGUUGAUCAGAACCCUAGAUCACUGCUAUUUGGGACCCUCAAAAGUCCCCCUGACAUCAACUUAUGUCUGUACAUAGCAUCACACUCUGAAGAGCCAUAGAACUUCAAGUCCAAACCCAAUUCCUUUUCACAGCUGUGUGAUCAGAGGCAAGCCACUUAACCUCUCUGGGUUUCAGGUUCCUGUUCUGUGCAGUGAAGGUGGUGGGGUGAUCACUGUGUGGAUUCAGCAAGGUACCUCUGUAAGGAGUGGGCCCUGCAGGUGGGCCCUGCAGGUGGGCCCUGCAGGUGGACCCCUAAGCAGAGUCUCCAGACUCACCUGCAGCUUCCAAGUCCUGUCUUCCCCACUGCCCAACCUCCAGCACAAGAGCGUGGGAACUUCCUAGUGCUGUGUUUGUCUUGGGCAGCUGGGGAGGGGCUGCACCCUCUGUCAGCUCCAGUGUGCUCCUGCCAGGUCACCCAGCGUGAAAGGGAGGGAUUGUUCCCGUGACCUUUGCUUUUCUAGUCAAAGGUUCUAGGGCCUGAGACAGAGCGGGCCCUUCUUCCUGAAGGCCAGGCAGCCAUGGCCAUCCCCCCCACCCCCACCCCCACCUAAAGGAGUUACAGGUCACCUGUGUCAAGGGGACUCUAUAGCUCUGUCCCUACCUCCAGAGCCAGCAGCCUACCGGAUCUCCAUCCUCCAAAACUGGUGCUCCAUGCCCUGUUCAGCCCCAGUUACCCACCUGCACUCCGCCCUGGGGAGGUGCUUGGAGGUGGGUGUCAGGUCUCUACCUAGCUGGAGACACUAUCAUUUUUUUCUCACUUAGCCUCAGUCUCCCGGGUCCCCCAAUCAUGAGGCUGACAGCCUCAAAGUAUAACCCUCUAGCAGCUUCAGAAACAACCAUUCAUGCUGCAGUCCCUGCAGGGUUAAGGGUCAUUAAGGUCACGGAGGCUCCAUUUCCGAUCUUCCAAAGGUGAGGGUCAUUAAUGAGCGUUGUUCUUUCCUUCUGGGGCAUGAACAAAGCAGGUUCAGCUCACAGCAGAAAGGCUGCAGGUCAGGGUUCCCAGGGUAUGGAAUGUCAGCCUCGGGCAGCAAUGACAGUCACCCAGCAUCUCUAAAAAUAGCCUGAAGCUGCUUUGGAAAGGGAGGUGGGGCACGGCCACCACUCAUGGCUGGCCUUCUUCUGCUUUUGUUUCCUUUUUAAGGACAAAAAGAAAAUGAACUCAAGAAGGGUCAAACCAGAAAGGUGACAUCAAGGUAAAGGCCACAGCAGACUGUCCUAGUCCACUUAGGAUCAAACCUGAUCUCCCGGAAGUCCCACAGUUGGCAGCAUUUGGUGUGUCUGGCCUCAGUGCUGAUGGCGCUCCUGUUCAGUCACUAGUUCCCACAGGCUGGCAGGGCAGCCUGGUCUACACCACACAGAACAGAGCUGACCUGUCGAGCCCAGCACCCAUUAGCCAUGUGGAGCUCUCAAACACUUGAAGUUUGGGGGCUGACAAGACAGCUCAGUGGGUAAAAUGUGUAUCAUGUAACCAUGAGAGCUUGAGUUUAGAUCCCCAGCACCCACAUAAAAUUCUGAGUACAGCAGCAGCAUACAGCAGUAGUAACUCCAGGGUUAAAGGCAGUUGAAGCAGGAGGAUUCCCUGGAGCUUGAUGGCCAGCCAGUCUAGUCUACUGAUGAACUCUGGGUUCACAGAGACCCUACCUCAAAAUGAAAAGCUGGGGAGUGAGAGAAAGACAUCUGAAUUGACCCGAGACCUCUUCACGUGCAUGUGUACCUGCACUCCCGUGGUAUGUGUACACAUGUGCAUUCGAGUGUCAGUGCACACAUAUAGCUGGAUGUCAUAUGCAACAGCAAAGUUUUAAAACCUGAGAGAAUCAUAAUUGAUUAGUAAUGUCUUUCAAGGAUAGAGGAUGGGAAACUAAGGCCUGAAUGUGGUGUUACUGAAAGACCAGGGGGCCAGGCGGUAGUGGCCCAAGCCUUUAAUCCCAGCAGAAGUAGGCGGAUCUCUGUGAGUUCAAGACCAGCCUGGUCUACAAGAGCUAGUUCCAGGACAGCCUCCAAAGCCACAGAGAAACCCUGUCUCAGAAAAAAUUUUUAAAAAAUUAAAAAAAAAAAAAACAAGACUGGGGGACUCAGUCAGAUCUAAUGAUUCUGGGGCUCAAAGUUUUAGCAUUUAGGAGGAGAACGUAUCAGUGAGGUUCAGUGUCAGAGUCAUGUUCUUCAAUCUCAGGGGCUUUACUUAAUUGUAGUCAGAACUUUGCUGGGCCUGCUGGCUCCCCAAUAAUGACACGGAGACUUAUUAAUUAUAAAAACUUGGCUGACAGCUUAGGCUUG